AAAUUGAAGAGUUUGAUCAUGGCUCAGAUUGAACGCUGGCGGCAGGCCUAACACAUGCAAGUCGAGCGGUAGCACAGAGAGCUUGCUCUCGGGUGACGAGCGGCGGACGGGUGAGUAAUGUCUGGGAAACUGCCUGAUGGAGGGGGAUAACUACUGGAAACGGUAGCUAAUACCGCAUAACGUCGCAAGACCAAAGUGGGGGACCUUCGGGCCUCAUGCCAUCAGAUGUGCCCAGAUGGGAUUAGCUUGUAGGUGAGGUAACGGCUCACCUAGGCGACGAUCCCUAGCUGGUCUGAGAGGAUGACCAGCCACACUGGAACUGAGACACGGUCCAGACUCCUACGGGAGGCAGCAGUGGGGAAUAUUGCACAAUGGGCGCAAGCCUGAUGCAGCCAUGCCGCGUGUGUGAAGAAGGCCUUCGGGUUGUAAAGCACUUUCAGCGGGGAGGAAGGCGGUGAGGUUAAUAACCUCAUCGAUUGACGUUACCCGCAGAAGAAGCACCGGCUAACUCCGUGCCAGCAGCCGCGGUAAUACGGAGGGUGCAAGCGUUAAUCGGAAUUACUGGGCGUAAAGCGCACGCAGGCGGUCUGUCAAGUCGGAUGUGAAAUCCCCGGGCUCAACCUGGGAACUGCAUUCGAAACUGGCAGGCUAGAGUCUUGUAGAGGGGGGUAGAAUUCCAGGUGUAGCGGUGAAAUGCGUAGAGAUCUGGAGGAAUACCGGUGGCGAAGGCGGCCCCCUGGACAAAGACUGACGCUCAGGUGCGAAAGCGUGGGGAGCAAACAGGAUUAGAUACCCUGGUAGUCCACGCUGUAAACGAUGUCGAUUUGGAGGUUGUGCCCUUGAGGCGUGGCUUCCGGAGCUAACGCGUUAAAUCGACCGCCUGGGGAGUACGGCCGCAAGGUUAAAACUCAAAUGAAUUGACGGGGGCCCGCACAAGCGGUGGAGCAUGUGGUUUAAUUCGAUGCAACGCGAAGAACCUUACCUGGUCUUGACAUCCACAGAACUUUCCAGAGAUGGAUUGGUGCCUUCGGGAACUGUGAGACAGGUGCUGCAUGGCUGUCGUCAGCUCGUGUUGUGAAAUGUUGGGUUAAGUCCCGCAACGAGCGCAACCCUUAUCCUUUGUUGCCAGCGGUUAGGCCGGGAACUCAAAGGAGACUGCCAGUGAUAAACUGGAGGAAGGUGGGGAUGACGUCAAGUCAUCAUGGCCCUUACGACCAGGGCUACACACGUGCUACAAUGGCAUAUACAAAGAGAAGCGACCUCGCGAGAGCAAGCGGACCUCAUAAAGUAUGUCGUAGUCCGGAUUGGAGUCUGCAACUCGACUCCAUGAAGUCGGAAUCGCUAGUAAUCGUAGAUCAGAAUGCUACGGUGAAUACGUUCCCGGGCCUUGUACACACCGCCCGUCACACCAUGGGAGUGGGUUGCAAAAGAAGUAGGUAGCUUAACCUUCGGGAGGGCGCUUACCACUUUGUGAUUCAUGACUGGGGUGAAGUCGUAACAAGGUAACCGUAGGGGAACCUGCGGUUGGAUCACCUCCUUA
rnacentral:rRNA from 1 species